AGAGUUUGAUCCUGGCUCAGGAUGAACGCUAGCGGCAGGCCUAACACAUGCAAGUCGAGGGGCAUCACGAGGUAGCAAUACUUUGGUGGCGACCGGCGCACGGGUGCGUAACGCGUAUGCAACCUACCUUUAACAGGGGGAUAACACUGAGAAAUUGGUACUAAUACCCCAUAAUAUCAUAGAAGGCAUCUUUUAUGGUUGAAAAUUCCGAUGGUUAGAGAUGGGCAUGCGUUGUAUUAGCUAGUUGGUGGGGUAACGGCUCACCAAGGCGACGAUACAUAGGGGGACUGAGAGGUUAACCCCCCACACUGGUACUGAGACACGGACCAGACUCCUACGGGAGGCAGCAGUGAGGAAUAUUGGUCAAUGGACGCAAGUCUGAACCAGCCAUGCCGCGUGCAGGAAGACGGCUCUAUGAGUUGUAAACUGCUUUUGUACGAGGGUAAACUCACCUACGUGUAGGUGACUGAAAGUAUCGUACGAAUAAGGAUCGGCUAACUCCGUGCCAGCAGCCGCGGUAAUACGGAGGAUUCAAGCGUUAUCCGGAUUUAUUGGGUUUAAAGGGUGCGUAGGCGGUUUGAUAAGUUAGAGGUGAAAUCCCGGGGCUUAACUCCGGAACUGCCUCUAAUACUGUUAGACUAGAGAGUAGUUGCGGUAGGCGGAAUGUAUGGUGUAGCGGUGAAAUGCUUAGAGAUCAUACAGAACACCGAUUGCGAAGGCAGCUUACCAAACUAUAUCUGACGUUGAGGCACGAAAGCGUGGGGAGCAAACAGGAUUAGAUACCCUGGUAGUCCACGCAGUAAACGAUGAUAACUCGUUGUCGGCGAUACACAGUCGGUGACUAAGCGAAAGCGAUAAGUUAUCCACCUGGGGAGUACGUUCGCAAGAAUGAAACUCAAAGGAAUUGACGGGGGCCCGCACAAGCGGAGGAACAUGUG
rnacentral:rRNA from 1 species